AUCACUUCUCCCUCGCCGGCGACGACUCCAAGUCCGGUGAACCCAGGUCCGAUGAACACCGUUUCUAGACCUGAUAUCUUUCUCUCCCAUUCUCUUCUGUAAACUUAAUUAUAAAAUCCACCUAUUAGAACCUUUGUCGGUUCGUACCUCUAAAUUCGUCGUAGUUUUGUAUCUCUAAAGUCGUCGUCGGAGUUUUGCACCUCGAAACCCGACAUCGAACCUGCACCUCAAGUCAUAUUCGGAUCAGAAGGGUUAUUUGAUUUUCAGGUAUGAUGUUAGAUUAUGUUUUGAGGUUAGAUGCUUUUGUGUGUGAGCCCUAGCUUCUCCGCUUCCUCUUCUCGUCAGAAUUGUUAGCAACAGCCACCAACGUUUAUUCUGCUUCGCAUCUACCCCAACUCUGCAAAUCAAAGUGCCUUUGUGUGUUUACAUCCCUAACUCUGUAGAUUGAUCCUAGGUUUGAUUUGGAUUUCUGAAAUUCGAAAUAAGGACACAACUGCUUCGAUUUUCAUCUCUUGAACUCAAGUUGGUGUUUGAUUGGUUUUGUUCUUGAUUAUGGAGUUUGGUUUGAUUUUCAAAAUUUGAAUAAGAAAACAAAAUUGGUUUUGAUAUCGAUUUCACUAUCUGGAACUCAUAUUUGUCGUUUAAUGUUUGAUUUUGGUGGUUUGGUUUGUUUAUGAUUUUGGUAUCUGGUUGUUUCUAGAACUCGAAAUACGUAUACAUGUGGUGGGUUCCGAAGGUGAAGGCUGGUGGUUGUUAGGCUUGACGGUAUGUGUGCGGUCCGAGACCGCACUUCGUGCCACAUGGACACGGAACACCGCCCCCAGACCGCGGUCUGGUGCGGUCUCGGCCGCAGUGCGGCUUGUGACUACCGUGCAAUUUGAUUGGUCCUUGAUCUUUGAUUGGUUCUGACCGUUGAAUGGUC
rnacentral:lncRNA from 1 species